rnacentral:rRNA from 1 species
UACGUAGGGGGCAAGCGUUGUCCGGAAUCAUUGGGCGUAAAGCGCGUGUAGGCGGCCCGAAAAGUCUGGUGUGAAAACUUGAGGCUCAACCUCAAGCUGUCACUGGAUACUGUCGGGCUUGAGUCCGGAAGAGGAGAGUGGAAUUCCUGGUGUAGCGGUGGAAUGCGCAGAUAUCAGGAGGAACACCAAUGGCGAAGGCAGCACUCUGGGACGGUACUGACGCUGAGACGCGAAAGCGUGGGGAGCAAACAGG